rnacentral:rRNA from 1 species
CAAUAGCGUAUAUUUAAGUUGUUGCAGUUAAAAAGCUCGUAGUUGGAUUUCGGGUGAGGAUGACCGGUCUGCCGUUGCGGUACGCACUGGACGUUUUCAUCUUGUUGUCGGGGACGCGCUUCUGGGCUUCACUGUUCGGGACGCGGAGUCGGCGCUGUUACUUUGAAAAAUUAGAGUGUUCAAAGCAGGCAAUCGCUCUGAAUACAUUAGCAUGGAAUAACGCUAUAGGACUCUGGUCCUAUUGUGUUGGUCUUCGGGACCGGAGUAAUGAUUAAGAGGGACAGUUGGGGGCAUUCGUAUUUCAUUGUCAGAGGUGAAAUUCUUGGAUUUAUGAAAGACGAACUUCUGCGAAAGCAUUUGCCAAGGAUGUUUUCAUUAAUCAAGAACGAAAGUUGGGGGCUCGAAGACGAUUAGAUACCAU